CCUACGGGAGGCAGCAGUAAGGAAUAUUGGUCAAUGGACGAAAGUCUGAACCAGCCAUGCCGCGUGAAGGAUUAAGGCCCUCUGGGUUGUAAACUUCUUUUAUCUGGGACGAAAAAAGGGUAAUUCUUACUCACUUGACGGUACCAGAGGAAUAAGCACCGGCUAACUCCGUGCCAGCAGCCGCGGUAAUACGGAGGGUGCAAGCGUUAUCCGGAUUUACUGGGUUUAAAGGGUGCGUAGGUGGGUCUGUAAGUCAGUGGUGAAAUCUCCGAGCUUAACUCGGAAACUGCCAUUGAUACUAUAGAUCUUGAAUUAUCUGGAGGUAAGCGGAAUAUGUCAUGUAGCGGUGAAAUGCUUAGAUAUGACAUAGAACACCAAUUGCGAAGGCAGCUUACUACGGAUAUAUUGACACUGAGGCACGAAAGCGUGGGGGAUCAAACAGGAUUAGAUACCCUGGUAGUCCACGCCCUAAACCGAUGGAUACUCGACANACANACGAUACACUGUUGUUGGUGUGUGNGAAGACGAUAAUAUACCACC
rnacentral:rRNA from 1 species